rnacentral:snRNA from 1 species
GGAUGUGAGGGUGAUCUGGCUGUGACAUCUGUCACCCCAUUGGUCGCUAGGGUUGAUGAGGCUGAUCUGGCUGGCUAGGCGGGUGCCCCCUUCCUCCCUCACGCUCAUGUGUGUCCCUCCUGAGGCUGCGCACUCUGUCGAGGGGAACCUUCUGCAGUAGAGGAGGACCAUUCUUCCGUCAAGGGUCUGUGAGUAGCUGCGCUCCYGUUAGAACCUCCAAACAAGCUCUCAAGACCCAGCCUCACCAGGGCCUCUCAUUUUCCAAAAGGAGGUCCAUUUUG